UAUGAAGGGGGCUAGCGUUGCUCGGAAUCACUGGGCGUAAAGGGUGCGUAGGCGGGUCUUUAAGUCAGGGGUGAAAUCCUGGAGCUCAACUCCAGAACUGCCUUCGAUACUGAGAGUCUUGAGUCCGGGAGAGGUGAGUGGAACUGCGGAGUGUAGAGGUGAAAUUCGUAGAUAUUCGCAAGAACACCAGUGGCGAAGGCGGCUCACUGGCCCGGUACUGACGCUGAGGUGCGAAAGCGUGGGGAGCAAACAGG
rnacentral:rRNA from 1 species